GAUGAACGCUAGCGGCAGGCUUAACACAUGCAAGUCGAGGGGUAGAAGUUGCUUGCAACUUUGAGACCGGCGCACGGGUGCGUAACGCGUAUGCAAUCUACCUUAUACAGAGGGAUAGCCCAGAGAAAUUUGGAUUAAUACCUCAUAGUAUAAUUGAAUGGCAUCAUUUAAUUAUUAAAGUUACAACGGUAUAAGAUGAGCAUGCGUCCUAUUAGCUAGAUGGUAAGGUAACGGCUUACCAUGGCAACGAUAGGUAGGGGUCCUGAGAGGGAGAUCCGCCACACUGGUACUGAGACACGGAGCAGACUCCUACGGGAGGCAGGAGUGAGGAAUAUUGGACAAUGGGCGCAAGCCUGAUCCAGCCGUGCCGCGUGCAGGAAGAAGCAUCUAUGGUGUGUAAACUGCUUUUGUACGGGAAGAAACACUCCUUCGUGAAGGAGCUUGACGGUACCGUAAGAAUAAGGAUCGGCUAACUCCGUGCCAGCCGCCGCCGUAACAC
rnacentral:rRNA from 1 species